GUGAGGAAUAUUGGUCAAUGGGCGAGAGCCUGAACCAGCCAAGUAGCGUGAAGGAUGACUGCCCUACGGGUUGUAAACUUCUUUUAUAAGGGAAUAAAGUUCUCUACGUGUAGAGUUUUGUAUGUACCUUAUGAAUAAGCAUCGGCUAACUCCGUGCCAGCAGCCGCGGUAAUACGGAGGAUGCGAGCGUUAUCCGGAUUUAUUGGGUUUAAAGGGAGCGUAGACGGCGGUUUAAGUCAGCUGUGAAAUGGUGCGGCUCAACCGUAGCACUGCAGUUGAAACUGGACGGCUUGAGUGCAGUUGAGGCAGGCGGAAUUCGUGGUGUAGCGGUGAAAUGCUUAGAUAUCACGAAGAACCCCGAUUGCGAAGGCAGCCUGCUAAGCUGCAACUGACGUUGAGGCUCGAAAGUGUGGGUAUCAAACAGGAUUAGAUACCCUAGUAGUCC
rnacentral:rRNA from 1 species